CCAAGGGUGGAGUAGUGGUUUGAGUGUUAGACUAGGAUUUGGAAGACCAGGGUUCAAAUCCCAGCUGGA